AGAACGAACGCUGGCGGCAGGCUUAACACAUGCAAGUCGAACGCCCCGCAAGGGGAGUGGCAGACGGGUGAGUAACGCGUGGGAACGUGCCCUUCGCUUCGGGAUAGCCUCGGGAAACUGGGAGUAAUACCGAAUACGCCGUAUUGGGAAAGAUUUAUCGGCGAAGGAUCGGCCCGCGUUGGAUUAGCUAGUUGGCGGUGUAAUGGACCACCAAGGCGACGAUCCAUAGCUGGUCUGAGAGGAUGAUCAGCCACACUGGGACUGAGACACGGCCCAGACUCCUACGGGAGGCAGCAGUGGGGAAUCUUGGACAAUGGGCGCAAGCCUGAUCCAGCCAUGCCGCGUGAGUGAAGAAGGCCUUAGGGUUGUAAAACUCUUUCGCCGGUGAAGAUAAUGACGGUAGCGGAGAAGAAGCCCGGCUAACUUCGUGCCAGCAGCCGC
rnacentral:rRNA from 1 species